CUUCUGUAUCCAGUUCAUUUUGCAGGAGAAGAACCUGAGAUUGGCACGAUUAUGUCAGAGCUGUAACAGAAACCAAUGAGAAGCCAGGAGAUCUGGAGUCUUGGAGAGAAGUUUCCAAGUAGCACACCCCUGUUCUUCCCUCCCUUGCUUACGGGAUCCUCUUGGCCUGUCUUGUCUCUGCUCUCUCACUUAAGUCUCUUGAUUUAGUCUGUUCUUUUGACAGGGUGGAAAGGAUUAAAAUGUUUUGUUUUGGGUACUUAGUAUCAAACCCAGGAGCACUUAAACACCGACCGAGCCACACCUCCAGCCCUUUUUAUUUUUUAAAUUUUGAGACAAGGUCUUGCUCAGUUGCUUAGGAUCUUGCUAACUUGCUGAGGCUGGUUUUGAACUUGUGAUCCUCCUGCUUCAGCCAUCCUAGUUGUUGGGAUUACAGGAGUGUUCCACCAUGCCAGACUUAAAAUGUUUUUGCUCUAUCCUUUUAUUUUCACUGUUCUUAACUUUUAGAACUGAGACAUUUUAUUGCUAUCUAUAGCUUUCUCUGUAAAUACAUAACUACUGUGCAUAAAACAUAACAUGCAUACAUAAAUCUAAGUUGCUUUUUUCUUCUGAUAUAACUGAUUCUUCAUGAAGUGCUUGAGAAAAUAUUUAUCACUUCUUCCUAAUGGUGUAGUGAUAGCUCUCAUUCAGACUGGCUAUUCUUCGAGGCAGGGCGGCUUCCUAACUAGCUGUGUGUCUAAAACAAGAGAACCAUUCAUCAUAAAUUGCAGAUCCCUGGGUCACAUCUUUGCACUUUUUUAAAUUAAAAAUUACUUUUUCAUUGCUGGAACUUGAACCCAGGGCCUCCCACAUACUAGGCAAGACCUCUACAACUGAGAAACAUCCUCAGCCCCUGAUUUGAUAUUUUUAAGGUGAAUUCAUCAGGCUAUUCUGAUGUUAAGGCUAUACCUCAGGCUGUUCUGAUACAGAGGCAGGUGGUACACGCUAAGGCACACAGGCAUGAACAGAUUUACAAAGGUGCUUUAAUUACAGCUGAAGAUCAUUAUUAUUAAUGGGAGAGUUUUGCUUCUAGCAAAUGCUGUCUUCAAUUUACCAUUUGAUUUCUGUUUAUUCUAUCUCUGGCUUCCUGGUCAUUUCUGUUCUUUUAGAAAACAAAGUGACCUGAUCAACUCUAUUUGACAAGAUGUUCUGAGAGGUGACAGAGGACACCCUUGUAACCUGAGGAGGGGAAAAAAACUGUUGACCCCUGAAAUUCAUCAUAAGUUAAGAAUGCAUUGGGACUUUCUCUUUCUGAUCAUGAUUAAUUGAGAGCACUGCAAAUCUUCUGUGAAUUUCAUUCAGCAAACAUUUAUUGAAAGGCGACUGUGUUCAAUGUACCGGGCCUACAAAAUUGUGUUAAUCAUUGUCUCUUCUUCAUGAAGAUCACAGUUUAGUAGUGAAGAGGAAAAUUGUCCUCUCUCUGUUUACAUUUUGCUUCUGUUUUUUGUUUUCCCUACAAUGUUACUGUCAGCUGGCAUUCUUUGAAAUUCAUAUUAAAAUUAUAGUGUUGGAAGGAAAUGAAAGAAUUGAGGCCACAAUUACUCUUUCCCAUGCUAUUCCGGGAGAUUUAAAGAAAUGAAAAUGGGGAGCUGGUAACACUUCAAACAAAAUUACCUUAGCCUCUAAUGGCCAGCCUCACUCUCCUGUUAGGGUUAAUUUUGUCUAGCGGAUGUUAACCAUGGAGUGAACUAUUCUGAUUCCUCCAAAGGCUGCUGAACGAUCCAGGAUGCUUGUACAAUGAGGCACCUGUGGGUUGUUCUUUUUAAUUAAAAACUCCUUAAUGGGAUGGACUUUCCGGCAUUUAUUUGUUGUAAAUGCUAGAACUCGGUCUACCUCAUUUUCCAAAGUCCAAUUUGAAAAUUAUGUUUAAAAAUAGCCUCCUGGUUUGAGAACACAAUAAAAAAAUUCACAGCAGUCUCUGAAGGAUGGAUUUAUAGGUUAUUUAGAUUAGAGAGUAUGCAAAGUAUUUCUUCUAUGGUUGAUGUCUGCAAGUACCUAUAAAUUGGCUGGAAAUUACCUGGAAAGACAAACAAAGGUCAAACAGGGCCUGUCACAUUGGGAGACCUUAGGCCAUCAGAGCUGAGAAUGAGUUAGGACAGAAAGUCUUAUCAAUCCAAUGGAAUGAAUCCAGUGAAUCCUUAGGAAGGAUAGGUAGAGUAAUAUUCAAUUAAGCAAGGGCUACUCCCUGUGAUUUAUUUUAUUUUUAUUUUUUAGUUAGAUGCAAUAUCUUUAUUUUAUUUACUUUUAUGUGGUGCUGAGGAUCGAACCCAGGGCCUUGCACAUGCUAGGCGAGUCCUCUACCACUGAGCCACAACCGCAGCUCCUUCCUGUGAUUUUAAAGCAACCCCCUAACUUCUUAUUUCAACAAGAUCCAUGGUCCUUACCCCAAGGAGAGGGUGAGCAAAGAACCUUCCACAAAUCUGUUGUUAUUGAAGUUUCCUCUCCAUCAAAAUUCAAAGUACUGUUAUGUGUAACUAAUGAUAAAAAAAAGAAAAAAAAUCAAAUAGGAGGUGGCUAUUUGUAAUUAAGAACUAGUUAACAGAAAAUCGUUUGCAGCUCAUUUCUAACAUCAAUCCCUAUUUCUAGAUUGAAGAUUUAUAUAUUUUAAGGCUUCCAUUGACAACAUAUUAUCAAUUAUAGAAAAAAAUCAACUGAUUUGUUUGUCCUACCAACAUCUAUGACAGGCUAAGAAGCAUUGUAUCAACAAUAAUAUUAAGCUUCGUGUUGUCUUACUUUAUUUAUUCAUUUAUUCAUCCAACAUAGAUUUUUUUUAAAGUGCUUUCUAUGUGCUAGGACUGCCAGGUUCUGGGGUGUAGAGAAGAGACACAAUUUCUGCACUACUAAUGCUAAUAGCAGUUUAUUGAUGAAGGGGGACAUUAAGUUAAUAACUAAAAGAUAUAUUUAUUGCAAACCUUGCCAUGUAUUAUAUUAGGAUAAAAUAAAUUAUACUUUGGCCACAAACAAUCUCAACAUCUCAUUGCUUGCAACAAUAAAGAUGUAAUUCCUGUUCACAAAAAAGCGCACUGUGGAACCAUGUGACUCUCCAGGGCAGACAGCAAUUGUCCUCCAAGUGACAACUUAAUAUAUAUUUGGAAGGUAAAAGCAAGAGAAAAAUGGAGAUGUUGGAUAUGGGGGAUGAGGGAAGAGGUGGUGUCAAAAUUAUCAAAAUAUAAGGAUAAUGAUGCUAGUCACUAAAAUAUGAAAUGCCAUGAUUUGGGGCAGAUAGUAUGUAUGUAUUCUCUGUGUGUUUUAGGAGUUGGGUGUGAUUUUGAAGUUCCCUGAAGACACUCAAAUGGAGAUACUGGGUGGGCAUUUGAGGUUCCUCAGUGAUACCUAGCUGAAGAUGUAUGAGCUGGAAGUUAGGAGGAAUGGAGGGAAAUUAAAGGCAGAAGCAUGACUAAGACUUCUUUGGUGAUGGUGUAGAGUAAGAUGAGAAGAGGACAUGGAGCUGGAACUGAGGCUGA
rnacentral:lncRNA from 1 species